rnacentral:misc_RNA from 1 species
UCUUUGUCACAUGUGAAUUCCAAGUCCACAUGAAUUCUUCCUUCCCCCUUGCAUUAUAUCUCAAGUAUCGUCUCAACGGAUAAAGACGAUGGACAACCCCGAAGUUUAAAAGAUUGAAGAAGUUGGAUUAGAAGACCCUUUAUUUUCAGUUUUUGCAUUUUUAUUUGUAAUGGGCCUAAGCCUUUGUCGCCCUUUUAUUUACUUUGUGUUAUUGUAUUGUUUUACUAGAACUUAGGAUAGGUACAAAACAAGAGGGUCAAAAUCCCAAAACAGGUGGGUCCAAAACCGGUCAAGG